rnacentral:rRNA from 1 species
AUUGAACCCUGGCGGCAGGCCUAACACAUGCAAGUCGAGCGGGGUUUUCGGACCUAGCGGCGGACGGGUGGGUAAUGCGUAGGAGGCUACCCGAUAGAGGGGGAUACCAGUUGGAAACGACUGUUAAUACCGCAUAAUGUCUACGGACCAAAGUGUGGGACCUUCGGGCCACAUGCUAUCGGAUGCGCCUACGUGGGAUUAGCUAGUUGGUGAGGUAAUGGCUCACCAAGGCGACGAUCCCUAGCUGGUUUGAGAGGAUGAUCAGCCACCCUGGAACUGAGACACGGUCCAGACGCCUACGGGAGGCAGCAGUGGGGAAUAUUGGACAAUGGGCGCAAGCCUGAUCCAGCCAUGCCGCGUGUGUGAAGAAGGCCUUCGGGUUGUAAAGCACUUUCAGCGAGGAGGAAGGGGUGAGUGUUAAUAGUACUCAUCUUUGACGUUACUCGCAGAAGAAGCACCGGCUAACUCUGUGCCAGCCGCCGCGGUAAAAC